rnacentral:rRNA from 1 species
UACGUAGGGGGCAAGCGUUGUCCGGAUUCAUUGGGCGUAAAGAGCGUGUAGGCGGCCAGGUAGGUCGGUUGUGAAAGCGCGGGGCUCAACUCCGCGUCGGCCAUGAAUACUGCUGGGCUUGAGCACUGUAGAGGCAGGUGGAAUUCCGGGUGUAGCGGUGGAAUGCGUAGAGAUCCGGAAGAACACCGGUGGCGAAGGCGGCCUGCUGGGCAGUAGCUGACGCUGAGGCGCGACAGCGUGGGGAGCAACAGGAU